GACGAACGCUGGCGGCGUGCUUAACACAUGCAAGUCGAACGGGAUAUAUCGUGGAGUAAUCCGUGGUAUAUCUAGUGGCGGACGGGUGCGUAACGCGUGAACAAUCUGUCCUGGAGUGGGGAAUAACAGCUGGAAACAGUUGCUAAUACCGCAUAAGACCACGAGGUCACAUGGCUUUGAGGUAAAAGGAGCAAUUCGCUUCGGGGUGAGUUCGCGUCUGAUUAGCUGGUUGGCGGGGUAAUGGCCCACCAAGGCGACGAUCAGUAGCCGAUCUGAGAGGAUGACCGGCCACACUGGAACUGAGAAACGGUCCAGACUCCUACGGGAGGCAGCAGUGGGGAAUAUUGGGCAAUGGGCGAAAGCCUGACCCAGCAACGCCGCGUGAGGGAAGAAGGUUUUCGGAUCGUAAACCUCUGUCGCAGGGGACGAGUAGAUGACGGUACCCUGUGAGGAAGCUCCGGCUAACUACGUGCCAGCAGCCGCCGUAAGAC
rnacentral:rRNA from 1 species